rnacentral:rRNA from 1 species
AUUGAACGCUGGCGGCAGGCCUAACACAUGCAAGUCGAGCGGAGCGGCGGACGGGUGAGUAAUGACUAGGAAUCUGCCUGGCAGUGUGGGGUAACGUCCUGAAACGGGCGCUAAUACCUCAUACUAGCAGCCUAGCCUACGUGGGAUUAGCUAGUUGGUGGGGUAACGGCCUACCAAGGCGACGAUCCGUAACUGGUAUGAAAGGAUGAUAAGUCACAAUGGAACGGAGCCACGGUCCAGACGCCUACGGGAGGCAGAAGUGGGGAAUAUUGGACAAUGGGAGAAAGACUGAUCCAGCCAUGCCGCGGGUGUGAAGAAGGUCUUCGGAUUGUAAAGCACUUUAAGUUGGGAGGCGUUACCAACAGAAUAAGCACCGGCUAACUUCGUGCCAGCAGCCGCGGUAAUAC